AUUAAACGCUGGCGGCAUGCCUUACACAUGCAAGUCGAACGGCAGCACGGGGCAACCUUGGUGGCGAGUGGCGAACGGGUGAGUAAAGCAUCGGAACGUGCCCUGGAGUGGGGGAUAACGUAGCGAAAGUUACGCUAAUACCGCAUAUUCUGUGAGCAGGAAAGCAGGGGAUCGCAAGACCUUGCGCUCUGGGAGCGGCCGAUGUCGGAUUAGCUAGUUGGUGGGGUAAAGGCCUACCAAGGCGACGAUCCGUAGCGGGUCUGAGAGGAUGAUCCGCCACACUGGGACUGAGACACGGCCCAGACUCCUACGGGAGGCAGCAGUGGGGAAUUUUGGACAAUGGGCGAAAGCCUGAUCCAGCCAUGCCGCGUGAGUGAAGAAGGCCU
rnacentral:rRNA from 1 species